UACGUAGGGAGCAAGCGUUGUUCGGAUUUACUGGGCGUAAAGCGCGUGUAGGCGGUCCGGUAAGUCCGCUGUGAAAGUCGAGGGCUCAACCCUCGAAUGCCGGUGGAUACUGUCGGGCUUGAGUACGGGAGAGGCGAGUGGAAUUCCUGGUGUAGCGGUGAAAUGCGCAGAUAUCAGGAGGAACACCGAUUGCGAAGGCAGCUCGCUGGGACGUGACUGACGCUGAGACGCGAAAGCGUGGGGAGCAAACAGG
rnacentral:rRNA from 1 species